rnacentral:rRNA from 1 species
UGCCAGCCGCCGCGGUAAUACGGAGGGUGCAAGCGUUGUUCGGAAUUAUUGGGCGUAAAGAGCAUGUAGGCGGGCUGUUAAGUCUGAUGUGAAAGCCCGGGGCUCAACCCCGGAAGUGCAUUGGAUACUGGCAGUCUUGAGUAUGGGAGAGGAAAGUGGAAUUCCGAGUGUAGGAGUGAAAUGCGUAGAUAUUCGGAGGAAAACCAUUGGCGAAGGCGGCUUUCUGGAACAAUACUGACUCUGAGGUGCGAAAGCGUGGGGAGAGAACAGGAUUAGAUA